CGGCGGAGGCGCCGCUCUCGGCUCGGAGCCGGGCGCUGCCGAGCAGCAUCCCCGUCAGAUGGCAUCACCGGCGGCUCCCCGGCCCGUUCGCCGCUGCCGGGCAGCACGUGCGGCGGACAAAGCACGGUCUGUCAUGAUGAGACAAAAUUGGAUCAGGAAUAUUGCAGUCAGGAUUGUUUGCAAGCAGGUCAUUGGGCUGCUCCCCCGUUGCAGUCCAUGCCCCGUGAUGUGUCUUUGGCCACCUUUCCCAUCUCUAGCUGGAUAACAGAAGCCUUCUAGAAGUGAGAUGUUGGAUGAAGCUCCUCUCCACGCUGAGUCUGAUGGAGCACUGUGUGCAUCUGACAGCCAGCUUGGCACUGCCUUCCCACACACAGCAGCUGGGCUCCGAUGGAUCUUGCACACAAGCAGACCUAAAAGGCUUUGUGUUUAGCCGUCUCCAGAACACAUUGGUUUCCCAGUGAGUUUCUUAGGAGUCUGGCAGAAAGUAUACAGAGCCAGACUUGAAUGUUCCUCCCUUCUUCCUGGAUGCUUUCCUACAAAUACUGAAAA